rnacentral:rRNA from 1 species
UGGGGAAUCUUGGACAAUGGGCGCAAGCCUGAUCCAGCCAUGCCGCGUGAGUGAAGAAGGCCUUCGGGUUGUAAAGCUCUUUUACCAGGGACGAUAAUGACGGUACCUGGAGAAUAAGCCCCGGCAAACUUCGUGCCAGCAGCCGCGGUAAUACGAAGGGGGCUAGCGUUGUUCGGAAUUACUGGGCGUAAAGCGCACGUAGGCGGAUUGUUAAGUCAGAGGUGAAAUCCCGGAGCUCAACUUCGGAACUGCCUUUGAUACUGGCAAUCUAGAGUCCGGAAGAGGUUAGUGGAAUUCCCAGUGUAGAGGUGAAAUUCGUAGAUAUUGGGAAGAACACCAGUGGCGAAGGCGGCUAACUGGUCCGGUACUGACGCUGAGGUGCGAAAACGUGGGGAGCAAACAGGAUUAGAUACCCAUGUAGUCCCUGAGCGGGCUGGCAAGGCGCAU